CGUGUCGUGGCUCGCGAUAAAAUCGCUUAAUACACACUCCAUACUGUAUAUAGCAGAUUUGAGGCCUGAGUGAGCAAUCCUAACCACAAGAUAUGCAAUUAGUCUAGUGAUGGACUUGUCAUCAGCAACAAUUUCAGUCUCAUCAACGCUUUGGAUAAACAGCAUCCAGUUCCGUUAUCACCGAUGUCGAUCAAGAUAUGGAUCUCUUCUUUACCUUUCUUUAAAUGUCCAAGUGUAUGCCCAUGUGAGUGUGGGUGUAUUCACGAGGACUCCCCUUUUUCCCUAUCCCACCUGUGGUGGAUUCAAUUAACUCUUCUGAUUUCUGAUGGAUCACGGGUGGACUGACGGAAGCACUUGUGGAUGGAUGUCUGGCCCUAUUUCACCCAGCCAUAAGGAUUUGAGCAGAUUGCAGCCAUCAUAACCACAAGAUAUGCAACAAGUCUUUACUUGUGCUGGACCUAAUCAUCACCAACAAUCCCCUAAUC